rnacentral:rRNA from 1 species
CGUUANACACCGCCCGUCCACACCACGAAAGACUGCUUGAACCAGAAGUCGCUGACCCAACCCGCAAGGGAGGGAGGCGCCCAAGGUUUGAGUAGUGAUUGGGGUG